GACGAACGCUGGCGGCGUGCCUAAUACAUGCAAGUAGGACGGAGUUGCGAACGGGUGAGUAACGCGUAGGUAACUACCUAUUAGAGGGGGAUAACUAUUGGAAACGAUAGCUAAUACCGCAUACUAGUAGAUGGACCUGCGUUGUAUUAGCUAGUAGGUUGGGUAAUGGCCUACCUAGGCAACGAUACAUAGCCGACCUGGUAGGGUGGUCGGCCCCACUGGGGCUGGGACACGGCCCAGACUCCUACGGGGGGCAGGAGUAGGGGAUCUUCGGCAAUGGGGGGCACCCUUACCGCGCAACGGCGCGUGAAUGAAGAAGGUUUUCGGAUCGUAAAGCUCUGUUGUUAGGGAAGCGGUACUUAACCAGAAAGGGACGGCUAACUACGUGCCAGCAGCCGCGGUAAUAC
rnacentral:rRNA from 1 species